GGGGGCGACCCCCGUUUAAGAUAUAGUCGGGCCCUCUGGGAGACCAGAGGUAUUCAGUCGCUGGACCCAGUACGCGUUGCUGGUCCCGUGUUGAAGUACGAAACCGUUCCGUAGGUGAACCUGCGGAAGGAUCAUU
rnacentral:rRNA from 1 species